UCUCUUGGUUGACAGAUUUGGUUGACAGAUCAAACAAGAGGGAAUCACUCAUCUCCUCUCCUCUUCACUCUCAUUUUCUCUCUCUCGUCCCUGACUUCCUGACUCUUCCUCCUCGCCAAAUUUCUUAUUCUCUUAUGCGCCGCCGAAUCACCGGCCUUGACGGUCGUUCCCCCUCGCCGGCGAUGUUUGUUGUUUGGUGGUGUGUUGAGUAUGCUGCUACUCCUCUCUCUCGUCUCUCCUCCUCUCGACCUUGCGCAGUACCACCGCCGACGGUGGCCUUAAAUGGUUGUCGUCGAUCUUCCAUCACUCAAUUGGGUAAUCUCUUUAAUCAUGUUGUUAAUUGAUUUGAGUUUUAUUGAAUUGGGAAAAUUCCAAACCCUAAUUUACUCUUCUUUGAUUUUCUUUCUCACCUCCGACGGGAGGUCGUUUCGCCGUCCCGGUGGGCUCGCCGCCAUUGUUGGUGGCGUCGGGUAGUAGCCCUCAAUGUUGGUGUCGCUAUUGUUGGUACCCUGAUCUUCCUCCCUGAUUUCCUUGCCUCUUUUCUCCUCCUUGCCAUAGCUCUUGCUGUUGUUGCUGUGAUUCGGUUCGAUUGUUGUUGUUGAUUGUUGCUCCAAUUGUUGUUACUUCUCUGCUUCAAUAUUUCUGAAGGGGUCGUUGAAUUAUGGAUUUUAGCGAAGGGUGAUGAUCGAAAUGUAUAAUUCUUGGAGUUAAAAUCGAAGAGUUAAAAUGUUUUGCAGGUAGCAAGAGUCGGGUCUCAGUUCAGGUUCAAGGUUCGUAGAAAUCUCCAGAUGCCUUAAAUGUCCAAGGUUGGAAUAUAGAUUCGUCAAAUGUAACUAAGUUUUCUAGAGAUUACUAUUGGGCUGUAUAAUUUCUUCAUAAAGUUUUUGGUCUAUAAUUUGUGGAUUACAUAUCCGUGUUAGGGUAGUAGUUUAGUCAAGUUGUUUGGUUCAAGUUUUAUGUGAGAUUAAGAGUAGCUCAUUAAGUAUGGCUGUCACAGUGACACCCUGGUGUUGUAUUGGGAAGUGUUGUAUGUUGGAAUGUUGUAUUUGAUGCAGGUGAAAGAAAAUCAGACGUAAUAUCCUAA